rnacentral:rRNA from 1 species
GUGGGGAAUUUUGGACAAUGGGCGCAAGCCUGAUCCAGCAAUGCCGCGUGCAGGAAGAAGGCCUUCGGGUUGUAAACUGCUUUUGUACGGAACGAAACGGUCCGGGUUAAUACCCUGGGCUAAUGACGGUACCGUAAGAAUAAGCACCGGCUAACUACGUGCCAGCAGCCGCGGUAAUACGUAGGGUGCAAGCGUUAAUCGGAAUUACUGGGCGUAAAGCGUGCGCAGGCGGUUUUGUAAGACAGGCGUGAAAUCCCCGGGCGCAACCUGGGAAUUGCGCUUGUGACUGCAAGGCUGGAGUGCGGCAGAGGGGGAUGGAAUUCCGCGUGUAACAGUGAAAUGCGUAGAUAUGCGGAGGAACACCGAUGGCGAAGGCAAUCCCCUGGGCCUGCACUGACGCUCAUGCACGAAAGCGUGGGGAGCAAACAGGAUUAGAAACCCUGGUAGUCC